GAUGAACGCUGACAGAAUGCUUAACACAUGCAAGUCAACUUGAAUUUGGGUUUUUAACUUAGGUUUGGGUGGCGGACGGGUGAGUAACGCGUAAAGAACUUGCCUCACAGCUAGGGACAACAUUUGGAAACGAAUGCUAAUACCUAAUAUUAUGAUAAUAGGGCAUCCUAUAAUUAUGAAAGCUAUAAGCGCUGUGAGAGAGCUUUGCGUCCCAUUAGCUAGUUGGAGAGGUAACGGCUCACCAAGGCGAUGAUGGGUAGCCGGCCUGAGAGGGUGAUCGGCCACAAGGGGACUGAGACACGGCCCUUACUCCUACGGGAGGCAGCAGUGGGGAAUAUUGGACAAUGGACCGAGAGUCUGAUCCAGCAAUUCUGUGUGCACGAUGAAGUUUUUCGGAAUGUAAAGUGCUUUCAGUUGGGAAGAAACAAAUGACGGUACCAACAGAAGAAGUGACGGCUAGAUACGUG
rnacentral:rRNA from 1 species